AAAUUGAAGAGUUUGAUCAUGGCUCAGAUUGAACGCUGGCGGCAGGCCUAACACAUGCAAGUCGAACGGUAACAGGAAGAAGCUUGCUUCUUUGCUGACGAGUGGCGGACGGGUGAGUAAUGUCUGGGAAACUGCCUGAUGGAGGGGGAUAACUACUGGAAACGGUAGCUAAUACCGCAUAACGUCGCAAGACCAAAGAGGGGGAGCUUCGGGCCUCUUGCCAUCGGAUGUGCCCAGAUGGGAUUAGCUAGUAGGUGGGGUAACGGCUCACCUAGGCGAC
rnacentral:rRNA from 1 species